UCGUUUGGUAAACAGACUUGCACAGUUUACGCCUUCCAAGAAGCGUCAGCUCUAUAGCUGCAACGCACGCCACACAGUAAAUUUAUAUAAUGUAUAGAUCACAGUACAGUAUACAGUUAUAAAAUAACAAAAGAGGAAGAGCUGUUAGCACACUGUGCCCGUGAGAGUAGGCAUAUCAUGGCUGCUGCUGGCUGCUGCUGGUGCUGGUAGUGCUCGGUGCCGCAGUGACGUCAACGAAUAUAUUGCGAGCAAGCAGCUACGGCUGCAGCAAGAGGAACAGCAGAAGCACCAGCAAUAACAGCUGCAGCGGAAAAAAGUGCGUGCAGCAUGCAGGCUGGUAAUGCUGGCGUGUGCUCCUCAACUCCUGUUUUAUGUGCAUAACCGAGUGUAAUAUAAAUGUGUUAGCUCUGCAGCCAAGGAGUAGAGAACGGAGUGAGUAAGUAGUAGUUUAAUCGAACGCACGAAAAGGAGAGCUGCGGAAGGUGCUCUCGUCGCCGGUCCAAAGUGCAAGACGCAAAGCGUAGGAGAAGAAGAAAAAAAGCAGUAUCUAGCAGUGGCAACAUGAGAACCGCAAGUGUAUAAGUAUGUACAGUGUCUUCAUGUAAAUUGUAAAUAAUCAGUGCAAACGACCGUGAUAUCCUAUGCGCGUACGUUCUACAUUAAUUUAUGCUCGGUGCAAGUGAGUUAAAAGUGUUUUAUUUAUACAUCUAUACCUCCGUCAGCAGUAGCUACAACUACUGCAGAUACGUGUGCGUAUAACAUAACUCCAAACGCACAAGGAUAGAUAAGAAAUUAAAAAAAAAAAAACAGAUUAUAUAUUAUAUAUUGUAGCCAAGCUACAACACCACCAACGCCGGCUAUUGCAGGCUGCAGAUUUCUCUCUGAACCGGAUCGGCCGGCCGGCGCUUCAACUGUAGCCUGGCACUCAAAAUGCUGCUCGUUUCUUGACAAAACGGAAAAUUGGGCAUCAGGGGAGCACCACCAGCAGCGACAACAUAUUUAUAUACCGUCAGUAUAAGGUUUGACGAAGAGGGGGACAGCAUCAGCAGCAUAUACUUAUAACCGGGGGAGCAACGAAGGACGGGUUAUAGGUAUAUUUAGGUAUAUAGUUGGGCUUGGAGCGGAGCUCGGGGGUCCCGAGUCGCCAGCGGCAGCAGCACGGCGGCGGCGACGCCUCAGCUGCAGCAGCAGCGACCCGGAGAGCGGCCGACAGUCAGGGAGGCCGAGGAGGCCCUGCCAGCAGCAGCUGCGCCGGCAGAGGAAGCUCGGGAGGAGGAGGAGGACCCAAGCCAGCGAGUUGAGGCGAUCGAGGUAGACGAGGAGG